UAGGGAAUCUNNNNNANGGANGGAAGUCUGACCGAGCGACGCCGCGUGAGUGAAGAAGGUUUUCGGAUCGUAAAGCUCUGUUGUAAGAGAAGAACGAGUGUGAGAGUGGAAAGUUCACACUGUGACGGUAUCUUACCAGAAAGGGACGGCUAACUACGUGCCAGCAGCCGCGGUAAUACGUAGGUCCCGAGCGUUGUCCGGAUUUAUUGGGCGUAAAGCGAGCGCAGGCGGUUAGAUAAGUCUGAAGUUAAAGGCUGUGGCUUAACCAUAGUACGCUUUGGAAACUGUUUAACUUGAGUGCAAGAGGGGAGAGUGGAAUUCCAUGUGUAGCGGUGAAAUGCGUAGAUAUAUGGAGGAACACCGGUGGCGAAAGCGGCUCUCUGGCUUGUAACUGACGCUGAGGCUCGAAAGCGUGGGGAGCAAACAGGAUUAGAUACCCUGGUAGUCCACGCCGUAAACGAUGAGUGCUAGGUGUUUAGACCCUUUCCGGGGGUUUAGUGCCGCAGCUAACGCAUUAAGCACUCCGCCUGGGGAGUACGACCCGCAAGGUUG
rnacentral:rRNA from 1 species